rnacentral:misc_RNA from 1 species
AACAUCGCGCACCUGCGGGAACCUGCGGAAGGAUCAUUACAGAGUUGCAAAACUCCCACAAACCAUCGCGAAUCUUACCCGUACGGUUGCCUCGGCGCUGGCGGUCCGGAAGGCCCUCGGGCCCCCGGACCCUCGGGUCCCCCGCUCGCGGGGGGCUGCCCGCCGGAGUGCCGAAACCAAACUCUUGAUAUUUUAUGUCUCUCUGAGUAAACUUUUAAAUAAGUCAAAACUUUUAACAAC